UACGUAGGGGGCAAGCGUUGUCCGGAAUCAUUGGGCGUAAAGCGCGUGUAGGCGGCCCGGUAAGUCCGCUGUGAAAGUCGGGGGCUCAACCCUCGAAUGCCGAUGGAUACUGUCGGGCUAGAGUGCGGGAGAGGCGAGUGGAAUUCCUGGUGUAGCGGUGAAAUGCGCAGAUAUCAGGAGGAACACCAAUUGCGAAGGCAGCUCGCUGGAACGUAACUGACGCUGAGACGCGAAAGCGUGGGGAGCAAACAGG
rnacentral:rRNA from 1 species